UACGGAGGGAGCUAGCGUUGUUCGGAAUUACUGGGCGUAAAGCGCACGUAGGCGGUUACUCAAGUCAGAGGUGAAAGCCCGGGGCUCAACUCCGGAACUGCCUUUGAAACUAGGUAACUAGAAUCUUGGAGAGGCGAGUGGAAUUCCGAGUGUAGAGGUGAAAUUCGUAGAUAUUCGGAAGAACACCAGUGGCGAAGGCGACUCGCUGGACAAGUAUUGACGCUGAGGUGCGAAAGCGUGGGGAGCAAACAGG
rnacentral:rRNA from 1 species